rnacentral:rRNA from 1 species
CGGGUGGCGGACGGGUGAGUAAUGUCUGGGAAACUGCCUGAUGGAGGGGGAUAACUACUGGAAACGGUAGCUAAUACCGCAUAACGUCGCAAGACCAAAGAGGGGGACCUUCGGGCCUCUUGCCAUCGGAUGUGCCCAGAUGGGAUUAGCUUGUUGGUGGGGUAACGGCUCACCAAGGCGACGAUCCCUAGCUGGUCUGAGAGGAUGACCAGCCACACUGGAACUGAGACACGGUCCAGACUCCUACGGGAGGCAGCAUG